UUGCUUGGGCUUCUCUUAAUCAUGUACAAAUCUUUCACCUUUUACUAAAGAUUUCCGUGGAGAUGGGUGUCAAGAAGCUCAAAAUAUUUUUGAAGGCUCUGUUUCGACGUCU
ensembl:snRNA U5 U5 spliceosomal RNA